GUCCAGCCCACACCCAAGGGAAGGAGAUUCCGCAAGGGCAUGGAUACCAGGAGCGCGAGCUGACCACGCACUCAGUGUGAGGCGAUGACCUUUUUCUCAACCAUGCGCAAGUGGUAUUUCUGCGUGCUUCAAAUAUCACAGGCCGGAUUGUCAGGAAACCAAGGAGGGGCCUUUUGGAAGAGAAUGAUGCUGAGCAUCCGGGUCCCUGGACAGCCAGCAGCCCUGAGGCAGACAGAAGUUUGGACAACUCAGGACAGGGAGCUUGGAGGGCAGCCCCUACAUGUCGGAGUGGUCCCUACCUGUGUUGCCUCAACUCUUCCUUCAAGGCAAGAGCCGCUAAGGACAGUCAGGACAUCCUACCGCCCAAGGCUGUUGAGCUCGGCCGGCCAAGGGAGCUUAUAAUUUAGUAGACACAUAAGCCACAAACAGAAGCCAGCUCUGUGUCAGGCCCCAUGAGAAGUCCGCAGGUGCGAUCUUCAAUUUGGAGACUACAGGAAGGAUGGCUGGGGAGGCCUCAGGAAACUUACAGUCACAGCGGAAGGCAAAGAGGAAGCAGGCAGCGGCUUCGUGGCAGGAGCAGGAGGAAGGCGGUGGGGAGGUGCUACAUACUUUUAAACAACUGGAUCUUGUGAGAACUCACUAUCACGAGAACAGCAAGGGGGAAUUCUGCGCCCUGAUCCAGUCACCUCCCACCAGGCUCCUCCUCCAACAGUGGGGAUUACAAUUCGACAUGAGAUUUGAGUGGGGACACAGAUCCAAACCAUAUCAGUGUCAUUAAAAAAAUAGUUGCCCUGCUAACUUUUUUAAUCCCCUGUAACUCUAAAUAAAAUAAUGAUGUGAACAUAACACAUUUAGAGUCCCUGGUUCAUUUCCUGGCUGUAUUAGUCUGUUUUCACACUGGUAUAAAGAUACUACCUGAGACUGGGUAAUUCAGGAAGGAAAGAAGUUUAAUUGAUUCACAGUUC
rnacentral:lncRNA from 10 species